rnacentral:rRNA from 1 species
AUGGCUGUCUCCAUGGGCAUACAGCGCCUGGAAGUGCGCGGGGACUCAAACCUUGCAAUAUCUCAAAUAAAUGGGGACUUCGAUGCCAAAGAUCCGAAGAUGGCAGCUUAUCGUAAUGUCGUCCUAAAAAUGUCGACUCGUUUUGAGGGGCUCGAGUUCCAUCAUGUGGCUCGAGAAAGUAAUCAAGCGACGGACGUUCUUGCUCGUAUCGGCGCCAAGCGCGACCUCGUCCCACCCAAUAUCUUCCUGGAAAGGCUUUUUAAGCCAUCCAUGGUAUGGCAGGGGGAGAGCGGCAACACUAGUCGGGAUCCGAACACAACUCCA